rnacentral:rRNA from 1 species
CACGUAGGGUGCGAGCGUUUGUCCGGAAUUAUUGGGCGUAAAGAGCUCGUAGGCGGUGUGUCGCGUCGGCCGUGAAAACCUGCAGCUUAACUGUGGGCUUGCGGUCGAUACGGGCAUCACUGGAGUUCGGCAGGGGAGACUGGAAUUCCUGGUGUAGCGGUGAAAUGCGCAGAUAUCAGGAGGAACACCGGUGGCGAAGGCGGGUCUCUGGGCCGAUACUGACGCUGGAGGGAGCGAAAGCCGUGGGGGAGCGAACAGG